GACGAACGCUGGCGGCGCGCUUAACACAUGCAAGUCGAGCGAAGCGGCGGACGGGUGAGUAACACGUGAGUAACCUGCCUUAGACAUUGGGAUAGCCUCGGGAAACCGGGAUUAAUACCAAAUGGUCUAAGAUGGACUCGCGUCCCAUUAGCUAGUUGGUGAGGUAACGGCCCACCAAGGCGACGAUGGGUAGCCGGCCUGAGAGGGUGAACGGCCACAUUGGAACUGAGAAACGGUCCAAACUCUACGGGAGGCAGCAGUGGGGAAUAUUGCACAAUGGAGGGAACUCUGAUGCAGCAACGCCGCGUGAAGGAAGACGGUCUUCGGAUUGUAAACUUCUUUAGACAGGGACGCGGUACCUGUAGAAUAAGCCACGGCUAACUACGUGCCAGCAGCCGCGGUAAUAC
rnacentral:rRNA from 1 species